GGGUUGUUGCUCGGCCUGGGAAGGAGCAGAGAGGGGUGGCGAGCUCCGAGCUCACGGCGAGAUCGCGUUCUUGAAGAAAACGGCGGCUAGGGUUCCUCGGACGCGCGUCUAACGGAAAAGAAGCCCGCUGAGAUGCUUGGGAGCUUUAUAGGGCGCUGGGCAAACGUUUUGGCAAGCAAAUCCCGGAGUCCACGGUUUCGGUUCGGUGGAAAUCUCCCGGCCGAGUCCUACUCGCUCACGGCGAGAGGAGGGGGACGAGCGCCGCCCAGUGGGGCCCGCAUGUCAGCGGCAAGGAGGAGGGGGAAAGGAACGGGCCUAGCGGUCAGACAGAGAGGGGAGGGGGUGCGCAUGCGCGCCCUGGCCGCGCAGCUGGGCCGCAGGGGUGCUGGGCCGCGCGCGGGGGCUGGCUACGGCUGAGGGGUUUUGUUUUUUUUUUUAACUUUUUCCAAUAUAUUUUUCCCAAGCCUUUUCAAAGAGAGUUUUGAAUGCAAACAAAAUCAAACAAAAGGCAACAUCACAAAAUUAAAUAUGCACCAGCAUGAAAUGCACAACCAUGUUUUCUAAAAUCAUAAUAAAUUUUAAUUUUGACCAAAACUAUUUUAUCCACUAGAUUCAAUGCUCACCAAAAUGCUUAAUUAAAUCAAAUUAAUUCCUAUUGAUUGAAAACAAAUUUUCGGGUGUUACAUUCUUCUAUAAUUUUAUCUAGUACUUUAUACUCCCUCCUUGGUCAUUCUGGAGUUCAAAUCAUGUACCCAAAUAAGGCCUUGUUUAGUUUCGAAAAGUGAAAAGUUUUCGGUACUGUAGCACUUUCGUUUGUUUGUGACAAAUAUUAUCUAAUCAUGGACUAACUAGGAUCAAAAGAUUCGUCUUGUGAUUUACAGCUAAACUGUGUAAUUAGUUUUUAUUUUCGUCUAUAUUUAAUGUUUCAUGCAUGUGCCAUAAGAUUCGAUGUGAUGGGAAAUCUUGAAAACUUUUUGGUUUCAAUACCUACGAACUAGCUCUGCAGCUUUACCGGUCACCCCAUCCCACCUCCUAUAUAUUGCCCUCAAUUGCUCGUCCCCACAUCCCUUGUAGCAACGUGAUUGGUCUUUAUUAUCUUCGUGCCUAGCUCCAGUACGACAAACAAUCGGGAACGGUGGGGGAGUAAGUUUUUAAUUUAAUAUAUAAUUUUUUUCACUAGCAAAACAUGCCCGUGCGUUGCAACGGAAGAAAAAAUAGUUUUAAUCCUUAAUAGAA
rnacentral:lncRNA from 1 species